ACUGAAACCGAAAGGUCUUUGACCAUCACGGCCAUAUUAGACUUCGAAUAUUCGAUGGACAGACGAGUACUGUAUCGACAAUCAGAAACGGUAUUCGAGAGGGGAGAAAGAUAUAUGGCUGUGAGCGCUCGAAAGGAAUCCAAAGAGAGUCUUCACGAAACUCUUUCGUUGCUCCAUUAUACGCGAAAUUUAUGGUAUAGAACGUUACUUCAGUUCGAGAAGAAAAUGGAAAACCAAGGUUGAGAGGAAACUCUGUGCGUUAGGUUAAAUAGAAUGUAAUUCUAAGAAAAUACUGAACAUUUUAGAGACCAUUUAGUAUAUUACUACCACGGUUAGAUUAUCAAUUUCGUGGCUUUAAUAAGUUUUCUAUUUAGAAAUCACCUAUAGUGGCU
rnacentral:misc_RNA from 1 species